GUCUACGGCCAUACCACCCUGAACGCGCCCGAUCUUGUCUGAUCUCGGAAGCUAAGCUGGGUUGGGCCUGGUUAGUACUUGGAUGGGAGAUUUGUAGAGUUUGAUUAUCUAGUGUCAGUCU
ensembl:rRNA 5S_rRNA 5S ribosomal RNA